rnacentral:rRNA from 1 species
GAGUGAGAAUGCCGGAAUGAGUAGCGAGAAUUAUGUGGGAAUCAUAAUGGCCGAAAAUCUAAGGUUUCUUGGGGAAGGUUCGUCCGCCCAAGGUAAGCCGGGAGCUAAGGCGAGGCCGCAAGGCGUAGUCGAUGCACAUACGGUAGAAAUUCCGUAGCCACCGAACUUUAAACCAGAAGGACACUUGCAGAUAGCGGAACCCAGCCGUUGGUUGAGCUGGGCGAAAGGGACUGAAAUAUAGUAGGGAAGUCCGCGAUGCUGUGAGGCGAGAAAAGCUCUGGUGUAUACUAAGGUGCCCGUACCGCAAACCGACACAGGUAGAUGAGGAGAGAAUCCUAAGGCCAACGGGAGAAGGGUUGUUAAGGAACUCGGCAAAUUGACCCCGUAACUUCGGAAGAAGGGGAGCCUCGAAAGAGGCCGCAGUGAAUAGGCCCAAGCAACUGUUUACCAAAAACACAGGUCUAUGCUAAAUCGAAAGAUGACGUAUAUGGGCUGACGCCUGCCCGGUGCCGGAAGGUUAAGAGGAGAGCUUAGCGCAAGCGAAGGUUUGAAUUGAAGCCCCGGUAAACGGCGGCCGUAACUAUAACGGUCCUAAGGUAGCGAAAUUCCUUGUCAGGUAAGUUCUGACCCGCACGAAUGGCGUAAUGAUUUGGGCACUGUCUCGACAGCCCGCCCGGCGAAAUUGUAGUACUGGUGAAGAUGCCAGUUACCCGCAACUAGACGGAAAGACCCCAUGGAGCUUUACUGCAGUUUAAUACUGGGAAUCGGUAAUUCAUGUACAGGAUAGGUGGGAGACUGAGAAGCACGGCCGUCAGGUCGUGUGGAGUCACCGGUGGGAUACCACUCUUGGAUUGCUGGUUUCCUAACCUGCGGCCCUGAAUCGGGUCGGGGGACACUGUUAGACGGGCAGUUUGACUGGGGCGGUCGCCUCCAAAAGAGUAACGGAGGCGCUCAAAGGUUCGUUCAGCACGGACGGAAAUCGUGCAUUGAGUGUAAACGCAUAAACGAGCCUAACUGCGAGACCGACGGGUCGAGCAGUAACGAAAGUUGGAGUUAGUGAUCCGGUGGUAUGUGAGUGGAAAUGCCAUCGCUCAACGGAUAAAAGCUACCCUGGGGAUAACAGGCUGAUCUCCCCCAAGCGUCCACAGCGACGGGGAGGUUUGGCACCUCGAUGUCGGCUCGUCGCAUCCUGGGGCUGUAUUCGGUCCCAAGGGUUUGGCUGUUCGCCAAUUAAAGCGGCACGCGAGCUGGGUUCAGAACGUCGUGAGACAGUUCGGUCCCUAUCUGUUGCGGGCGUAAGAGAUUUGAAGGGAGCUGUCCUUAGUACGAGAGGACCGGGAUGGACGUACCUCUGGUGCACCAGUUGUCCUGCCAAGGGCAUAGCUGGGUAGCUAUGUACGGACGAGAUAAACGCUGAAAGCAUCUAAGCGUGAAACUCUCCCUAAGAUGAGAUCUCUCAUCCUUUAUGGAGUAAGGGCCCAGAAAGACGAUCUGGUUGAUAGGCCGGAGGUGGAAGUACAGUAAUGUAUGCAGCUGACCGGUACUAAUAGCCCGAGGGCUUGACCU